GCCGGCGUAGCUCAGUUGGUAGAGCGGCUGUUUUGUAAACAGCGGGUCACGGGUUCGAGUCCUGUCGCCGGCCCCA
rnacentral:tRNA from 1 species